GUGCUCACUUUGGCGGCACGUACACUAAAAUUGGAACCUUAUAGAGAAGAUUAGCAUGGUCCCCGUGCAAGGAUGUCAUGUAAAUUCACGAAGCACUGCACAUUUUU